rnacentral:lncRNA from 1 species
AGUGGAACAUAUUUUUAUGCUAUUCUCUAAUAUGCAUUGCGUCUCCAUGCGAUUCUCCAACAUCUGCUCCUCAUCCAUAGAUGAACUAAGUGGAAUACAUCUCCAUGCUGUUCUCUACAUGCAUUCUUCAUCCACGGAUGAGCUGAGUGGAACGUAUCUUCUUAUGGUUUUCUAAUGCGCUCACCUCAUCUAUGGACGAGCUAAGUGAAAUGUAUUUCCAUG